rnacentral:rRNA from 1 species
CUACGUCGGCGACCGGCGCAUGGGUGCGUAACGCGUAUGCAACCUACCCAUUACAGGGGGAUAACACUGAGAAAUCGGUACUAAUACCCCAUAACAUCCAGGGAGGCAUCUUCUUGGGUUGAAAACUCCGGUGGUAAUGGAUGGGCAUGCGUUGUAUUAGUUAGUUGGUGGGGUAACGGCUCACCAAGACAACGAUACAUAGGGGGACUGAGAGGUUAACCCCCCACAUUGGUGCUGAGACACGGACCAAACUCCUACGGGAGGCAGCAG